ACACUACUCUACAUACUAUAUUAUUAUUAUUAAUAUAAAUAAUGUUUUAUUGCAUUUAUAUAUAAUUAGGAAAUACACAUGUUAAUGUCAUUUAGUACUACAUGUUUUCAAUAUUAAGUUAAACUUUAUCUGGAGUACUCUGCCAAGAGUAUUUUGUCUCAAUACGAGUACCGCGAAUUCCAUUAAUACGAAUCCAAAAAAAAUACUCUGCACUGGGAAAUAAAUAUAACGAAAUAUAUUUAUUUUAAAAAGAAAAGAGAUCACCGGCUAUUAUCAUCAUCAUCACGAUCAUCAGGAGAAACAUGUUGUUGGAGAUUAACAAGCUGGUGCAUAUAUCCCUGAUGCUGUUGGUACUGCUAGUGGUACUCUGAUGAGAAAAGUCAGUUGGCUAAAAAUAAUCCUGGCCGAUGUGUGUUUCGCGAUGGGAUCAGCGCCACGACGUCUCGCUACGCGCUUCCCUCAUCAACGUUCCUCCCAGCAAUCUAUAUAUAUACAUAUAAAAAAAAAAGAAAAAAAAACCAAGAAGAAUAAAGUGUAGUUGCCAAUAAGUGAAUUUGUCUCGCAUCUGUAACCAGGUGUCGUAGUGGUCUUCGUCUGUCCCAACCCUGGCGAUCACCAGCUUCUAGCCAGACAGAGCGGAAUCACAUUCAGUUGUGUCUCGUGACGCAAAGACUGCCCAGCAUUUACUACCCAGCAGAUUUUGAUUUAGUGGCGUUUACUGUUGAUAGUACGGCGGGAGUUGAUGAUGAUGAUGAUAAACGGGAAGCGAUUGAUGAUGCUGUGACAAGGCUCCACCAGCAGUAACUCAUGCAGCAUGAUGAUCCGGUACCCGUUGUUAGAUCCAAAUUGGAGAUCAUCGUCAGCUGGCAGAAACUUUUAUUUUAUAUCAAGUACUCUUAUAAUAUAUUUAUGUUAUCCUCAACACCUGUGUACUGAUUUUUAUCAACAUUGCCGAUUACUAUCAAUAAACUGGAUUAAUUUAAUUUAUUUUUUUUUUUAUUAGAAAUCACUGAUUAUUUUUGGAGUAAAUCAGUUGGUCAGUACUGCACUAUAAUAACAAGAAUGAUGAUAAUGAUGGUGGUGAUGAUGAUGAUGAUAAAAACACAAGAUCACUGGUAUAUAGAGAUAUGUAGAUUAUCGUGGAUUAGUUUCCAAUAAGAUCGAGGAGCAGGCAAUUGGCCAACGUCCAAGUGGUAAAAUAUCGAGAAGAGCACGACUCGCGAGCUCGCGGAUGAAUGACUGACUUGGUGACUGAGUGACCGUAUAGAAACAAGUCAGCCAGAUCGUCGUAGUCGUCGUUGAGUUGCUCGGGUGGGAGGCUGAGUAGUCCGCUCUGCUCUUUACUUGUGUCUUGCUCUCUGUAUAUCUGGUGUGUGCACGUUCCUCACUACACUACUGACUCUACUCUACUCUGCUCUACUCAAACUCCCAGAGCCGCUGCUGCUGCUGGUGGUGGUGAGUGUCGUCGUCUUCGUCGUCGUGGUAGUUGUCGUUGUAGUUUUGUGUAUGUAAUGCCAUGCCUACUCUACUAUGUACUCCCAACUCCAACUAAACUCUUCUUAACCCGUUGGUAUUGAUAGUAGUAUGUAGAGUUUGCAUAUAGAGUUGAGUGUGCUGGCGAACUGGGCACACGCCGAGAGAUACUCAAGACACGGCCCAAGCCCAUAUUCUUUAGUAUUUUUUUUUUUUUUCACGCUUGCGCUGCACCUAUCUCUCAUACUCGGCAUUGCAACGAAAUGUAAUGACAAAAAAUGAGAAUAAAAAAAAAAAAGUUUCUUUUUUUUUCUUUUUUAUCUCGAGUUGAUAGGAUUGAGAUUAUGGAGAUAGUGGCUUUGAUUUGGAGACAAGUCGUGUGGGAGUACUGAUGCUGAUGAUGCUGAGACGCCGGUAACUCUCUGGGGAGUCAAUCAGCUAAGGCGGAGUCCAGAGCCGCGGCCUACAGACACUACGUAGGUGUGAGACAAACUUCCUAGGUGUCGGGAGAUACAUACAUCAAAUUGUAUUCAUAUAUAUAUAUAUUCUUUAUUUCUUAAGUUAUUUUUUAGGACUACAUGAUAAAUCUCCGGCAGGAAAUUCGCGGUCUCUUUCACUACACAAAGCCCAAGAAAUGUGCCAGGGCAAGUGGUUGGUGGAGAAGACCUCACACCCGAGUGGUGUGUAGAAAAGACUUGCAUUAAUCUCCAGUCGUUGGUGAAUGCGACGUUUCUACGAAUUACCUGGUGGUACGAUGCCGAGGCUGACCGAGGUUGCUGGUUUGGGUUGCUGGCGUCGCGGGUUCUGGCCCAACACAAGAGGACAAGAAUAAGAAGAAAGAGGAGGAGGAAGAGGAGGUAACGGAGGAGUGUGGUAUAGUAGAAAAGACAUUUGGAUGGGUUAAGGUUUAGUAGUUAUAUAGAUGCUCAGCGAAACCAAAAAAAGUAUGUGCCAACGUAUUUCUCUCCAGCGGUUUAGUCAACAAAUCGGAAGAGAAAAACGACGUUGGACCUGCACGAUCGUGAAUAAUACCAAAGACUCGUUUCUCGCCUAUUCAUGAGUCGCAUUAAGGCAGCGAGGGACGAGUCAAUAUACAAAGGAUAAUCCCUUGAUUGCGUGUGCGAGCACGAAAUUCUUUUCUCACUUGGUUUUAAACCCAAGCAGAAACUUCUUCUUCUUCUUCUUCUUCUUCUUUUGCUGCUGCUGCUGUUGCUUCUACUUCUACUUCUUUUUUAUCGUCAACUUGUUCUUCUUAUUCAUCUACUUCUUGUUAUUUUAUUAUUUGGUAUUCUUAUUUUAUGCUAUUCAUUUCUAUUUAUAUUUUUUUCUCUUACUUUUUUUUCUUUGGUUGCUUUUUCUAGGAAGAUUUCGCGCCGCCGCCACCGAUGUCCCGAUUGAUUUCACGCCGAUCAAAUUCAAAUAACUGGCCAAAAAGAAAUAUUUUUUAAAAAUAUGUCGGUGAAGAUGACGUGUCCGUAUCCUGUAUUAUAUAUAUAUAUAUAUAAAAUAUAUACAGGAAUAAUGAUAUGAUUAAUAAAUAAAAGAAAAGUAAACUGCUGGGCAUUAGAAAGUGUCAGGAGACGCGACAAAUGAUCGCGGGAGGCGCCAAACUGCCGAUUGAAAUAAUAAAAUACGAAAAAUUGACACGACGCCCCCCCGCGCACAUGAGUCGUAUAUGCGAGACGAUAAACACCGACGGAUCUGGGACAUCUAUUUGCGUGUUGCCACAAGUCAGAGAGAGAUUGAGUUUAAAAAAAACGCAUAUAAAAAAUAUUUAAAAAAAAAAUCAAAUAACAAAAAAAUCACAAUAAUAAUAAUAAUGAAUAGUGAUGCGUGUCAUUGGCUCGCGAGAUGCAAUUUUAAUAUCAACACUGAUAUCAUUAGAAUUGUGCGAAACAAACAACAAUUUAUUUGUCAUCAAAAUGUUUUUUUAUCAUCCUCUAAAUUAUUAUAGCAAUUUUUUAUUUAUUUUUUAUUGGAAAGAAUUAUUACGAGAAAAUAAAUUAUUUUUAUUUAUUAUUUUUUUCUUACGAGUGUGAAGAGGUGAAGACCCGAGAGUAUUCUUAUAAAUAUAUAUAUAUACUGUACAAUGACAUGGAGAAGAAGAACAAGAACAAGAACAAGAAGAUGCUCAAGAAGAAGAAGUGAGGUGGAGUAUUAAACGCCCACCCGAGUGUAACAGUGUACUCGGAUCGUUUUUUUCAGAUCGUAUGGUAUUGUAAUGUUAUAUAUAUACACAGAUAAAUAUGUAUUUGUAUGUAUGUAUGUAUGUAUGUAUGUAUGAAAGAGAGUUUAAAAGUUUAAGUUGUAUAUAACUAACAACAACUACUCGAUAUAUUAUAAUCCAAGUGUGUUGUGUGUGUUGCGAACAACGAUCGGGGCGAUUUUAUUGCCGCACAAGUCUGUGAGACGAUGGGAAUGUUGGCGCCAUUUCUCGCAUAACCCAGGGGCCGGCUGGCCUGCCGCGAUUCCGACGACGACCGCAGAUUGCCGCGGAUGAGAUGAGAGCACUCUCUUGCUCUCUUGUACAGCAACGCAAAAAUCUCCUCAAACUCGUGCUCUCCUCAACUUCUCGAUACAAUAUUAUUCUUCCUAUAUAUUUAUAUAUAUAUUUUAUGAGUGCCCUGGUUGCCUGGUUGCCCUCCUAAGAUGCCGUACAAGUAUCCUCCGCGGAUACGAACACGAUCUGGGAUUUUAUUUGGGCAGACCGGUGUUGUGAGCACGUCAGAUCGUUUAAUGUCUCUGGGUAUCAUGUGAAAACUUGCGAAAGCAAACUUUCAGUCUCAUUUAUAUAAUUAUUUUAUGUUUUAAAUACAGCUCAAUACGUAAAUCUGUUAUUUAAAUUGACGCGAGGAACUCACAAGUUGAUUUAAAGCUUAAUAAAAAGUUACGGACUUUGAUUGCAAAUAUAAUUAUUUUAUAAAACAUUUAAUAAAAUGUUUUAUUGAUAAUAGACAAUUAAAUGUUCUAUAAAUUCAUAAAAAAAAAAGUCUUUAUGAAUUUAUAAAUAUCACUGAUUAAAAAGAGAUAUUUGCAAUCAAAGCGUGUGCAAAUAUUAACAGUCUUACGCAACACAUCUUCAGGCGACACUAAAUUACAAUAAUAAUUAUAAAGCUUUGAAUAAACUUAUGAGAAAAAUAAAUAAAAUAGUAAUAAUAAUAAUAAUAACAAUAAUUAUAAAUUAAAAAUUAUUAUCGAUUCCAUUAAACGAUACUGCCUCAGUAGUAGUUGCUGUCGAUUACUUGCAAACUUGUCAAUAUAUAUAUGUAUAUUUUCACUUAGCCGAUAGCAUGGAAUUUCAUAAUAAAAUAUUUUAUCUUACAUAUAUAUAGAGUACGUCAUCAACGCACUUAUCCUGUUCCCCUUUUAAAUUUAUCAUUUUUCAAUGACGACGUUGUGUGUACACGCUUCCUCUGUUUUCAUUUCGGCUUUUUAAUACACUACACUUAAACAUAUAUAGAUAUAUAUAUAUAUAUGAUCUUUUACGUACAUACCAGCGUACUUGCGUUAGUUAAAAAAAAAAUUUUAUUACAUUUAACAACAGCGCAAUGUUGAUUUUCGCGUCAGAUCUAUCAUCUACUUGCUCUAAAUUAUUGGCUCGUAAAUUUUAAAAGGAACACACCAUUAAUUUAAAUAAUCUAUUUUUGUAAUUAUUAUUAUUAUCAAUAUUAAUAUUAUUUUUUUUGUUUUAUUUGUAAGUCAAGUUUUUUUAGUAUACAAUUGUUUAAACAAAGAGCCUUAGACAUGGCUCUGGUUGAGUAAAAUUUAUUAUUUCAGCUAGGCAAUGUAGUAAAGAGUCAACCAAGUACUUAAAAUUUGUUACUUCUUUCUUACUUUUUUUUUAGUUAUAAAUAACGCACUAUAUUAAAGCACAGUUACAAUAUAUUUCACAAAUGAUCGAACAUUCAUACAUAAUUAUAUACGAAAAUGUUUUUUUUUAAAUAUUUCUUUCACGUGACAGUGAAGGCGUACUCAAUCAUAUGGAAAUUAAUUUAUAAUUAUUAAUAUUAUUAUUAUUAUUAUUAUUAUAAUAUUUAUUUUAUUUAUAUACUAUAUUUAUAUAUUUACUUAAUAUUUAUAUGUCAAUCUUAUAUUUUAAUCGAGAGGAUUAUGUAUUGUAAAAACACAUUCACUUUCAUACAAAAAAACGCACUCGGAAAAAAAAUAAAUCAGAAGACCCAAUUAAAGCCGGUAGCCUCCAAGAAAAACAAAACAAGUAAACAAUUAUUAUUUAUAAGUAUAUAUAUUUAUAUUUAUAUAUAUAUAUAUCAAGCGUUGCUCCUCACUCUAUACCCGAAACAAAAAAAAAUAUUUAUCUGCACAUAUCUAUAAAACUUUAUAUUUAAUUAUUGAUAUUCCAUUCAUCCUGUCGCGAUGGACUCAAAAAAAUGAAUAGAGAAAUAAAACGAAAAUUACUUGACAUUUUCUUCGGAAUGUCUAGACCAAAAGGACUUUAUCAAUUUUAUUAACUUGUUGCUCUGAGAGUAAAUUGACCUAGUAUUUUAUCGAUCGCGUUUAUUGAACAAAAAUAAUAAAAAAAUUAAUUCAUUUCAAUAAAAUGUUUGAGCUUGCACCAUAUAAAUUAUAAUUUAAAAUGAAUUAUCGUAACCAGUAGUAACAUUUAAAUCGAUCUAGUAAAAAAAAAAAAAAAAAAUCCUUCGGGGAUCAUAAGGGAGAGGAAAGCCAUCAAAGUAUUUGUUGGACGAGACAUUUUUAUAUUUUCUUUCUAAGAUCACAUGUUGUUUUUUAAAUUUUAAUUUUGCAAUUUAGAGUAAUGUACAAGUGAAUGAAAUUUAAAUACAAACCGUGUGCGACUGAGUUUUAUUUUAAUUAUUUAUUAUUUUUUUUUUAAACUAAUUCUGUAGCUUUUAGUUGUAAGUUAAAUUUAAAAAAUUUAUAUAAAUACGAUCACUCGUUCACGGGAAACAAACAAAAAAAAAAUAAUAAUAAUAAUAA